UACGGGGGGGGGCAAGCGUUGUCCGGAAUCAUUGGGCGUAAAGCGCGCGUAGGUGGCUUCGUAAGUCCGUUGUGAAAGUCAAAGGCUCAACCUUUGAAUGCCGAUGGAUACUGCGAAGCUAGAGUACGGAAGAGGCGAGUGGAAUUCCUGGUGUAGCGGUGGAAUGACGCAGAUAUCAGGAGGAACACCAAUAGCGAAGGCAGCUCGCUGGGACGUUACUGACGCUGAGGUGCGAGAGCGUGGGGAGCGAACCGG
rnacentral:rRNA from 1 species